GUCAGUGUAGAAAGCCCAGGCAUUGUCCCAUAGCUGGCCCUGUGUGUUUGCACUGAUUCCUCAGAAUAAGUUUGCAGAUAGCUUAACUUCCAGAAUUCCUGAGUUUCACUAGUCCCCCUUCUUUAUGAUGAAUUGGAAAAAGGGUAUAUUCUGGGAUAAAGCAAGAGGAAACUGGGUGCAGCAAAGAUCCCUAGACCAUUUUUCCCAGUGGCCCAUUGCUCCUGCUGCUUUUUUCAUACCAGCUGAAUCUCCCUAAACCCCACGUCUGCGGCAAAGUCUUCGUGGUGAAACAGGUGAGUCACACUUUUCUGCUUCUCUGCAAUUACAAAUGUUAUCACCUCAUCUGACACAGAGAGGGUGUUGGUUGGAAAUACGCAUUAGGAAUAAGCUCUUUGGAAACAGCAAAACUGCCUUCAUGAAAUGAAGACUUUUUUUUAGAAAGUCUGGAGCUAAAGUUAUAAAAAUAAAGAGGCGUCAUCUCCCUUUCCUUCUCCUACAAUAAUGGAAAUGAAAUAUCAAAGUAAACAGCACCACAUCCAUGUCCUCAGCACAUGUGACUCGCUAACAGAACCAUGCCAGCCACCCCAUCCCUUCUCUCCCAUAUUCUCUGCUGUUCUCACUGUCUCUCAAGACCUGAUUUAAAACCACCUUCACUAAGAAGUCUUCCUGUCCCCCUUCUGGUCCUUCACGGAAUAUUAUUUUGCUUCUGAAACUUAAAAAAACAAUUUUGUUCUCAGGUCAUUCUCUGUGUACAUCCCAUCUCGUCCAUCCUACAGAUUAGAUGUUCUUCCAGGGUAGAGGCGACCCCAUCUCAUGUCGCAGUCUUCAGUACAAGAAGCGUCAAUCUCAGAUCUUACUCAUUUCCAACCUGUACCAAUCAAAGGCCCUCCCAGCCAAGAUAAAAGCAAAGUCUCCCUCCUCCAGAGCACAUGGGAAUGGCCCCCCAGUAGCUGGGGCAUGCAAGCUAAUGAAGUUUCAUCUUCCACCUCUAUCCAAAUAUGACCUUGCUGAUACCAUCUCCUAUUAGAUGACAAAUCCGGAUGUUUCUAUUGCAUGGUUGUUAUUUGCCACAUGCUUCCUGGACAAGUUUCUAGGUAACCUUAAUGUCUGUGCUUCUGGGGAAGGAGGAGUAGAAAAUAACUCACCUCUUCAGUAAGUGGUUUUAAAAAUAUAACAGUGUUUAAAAGCUUUUAGAGAGCAGCUCUCCUUCCGGCUGCUCCAGCUCUGUUUGCUUUGUGAUAGGAGCCCCCGUAACACUUCGUGCUUGGCAACAUCUGACGAGGACAGAAGGCAGGUUUAAAGCUGAGAAGAUUGAUUUUUCCUUUGUAGGGCUUUCCAUGAGGGGCGUGGGAGAGAAGUCACUUGGGGAAGCAGUGGUCAGUGAGGUUUACUUCUCCAUAUGCUCUGCAUUCAUGUGUAAGGCUAAACAAACGUGUUGUCUCCGCAAGCAAAUCCCACACCACAGAGAGGAGCAGUUUGUCCUGGAGGUCCUAAGGAGGUGACCAGUGACCUGGAGGGUAAAAGGUUGGGGCUCCUGAGACCUUUCUUCCAACUCUCAUUUCCAUCCUAAACUGGCAGGGGAAAUGUACCCAAAUUGCCUGUGUGUUUCGAUUUGAUGUGGACACACUGUGACCACUCAGGAUCGCUCUGGUGCUGCUGAACUCCAUGGUUCAUAUUAGGCCCGACUGUCUAGUUUUAGAAAGUGGGAGGAGAUUUCCCCUCUGCCAGGGCUUGGGGUUUAUGUUCCCCAGAGCAUUGAGCAAGAGCCUCAUGUUUACAGAAAUCUCAGGCCCCAUGAUUUCUUCCUGUCAGGGUAGAAGGAGAAGGAGUAGGCACAGACUGUGGAGUAGAUCUUGCCACUUCAGUCCCUUUGUUCUUGCCCAGCAUGAGGUUACCAAGGAAAGGAUACCUGGGGCGCUGGGGGUGAGGGUAUGUAUUGGUUGUUUGAACUCUGAAAAUAUAAUUUUAAAAUUGGCAUUGUAAAUCAAAUCAUUAGGUCUUCUGCAUAUAGUUUUAUUUUUUCUAAAACUUCAUAAAGCUGUCAAAAAUACCUACACUAUAUUUUAAAUGCUGUGGGCAAUAUAGUUUUUAAAAUUUUAUUGUGAAGUGCUGUUGUAAUUCCUUUAAGAGAUGUACACUGUCUACCU
rnacentral:lncRNA from 1 species